UGCUCCCAGUUUAUAAUUCUCAUUUGGGCUUGAAUAAAACUUUCUGUUUCUUUCUUAGAUCAACUGAUUAAUUUUUUCAUCGACAGAAGCAAAAAAGGAAAAGAAAGAAGGAAGGAAAAGGACCGAGAGAACAGUGGUCACUUCCUUGCUGUGACCUGCUUGCCAGGGUCUGCAUGGAACAAGCGCUCGCUGCUCCUUUAUGAAGCUCCCCCCAUGGGACCCCAUGGUCCCUCCCCCUGUGGGAUCUUGUCACUGCAAGCUGGGUCUGCUCAGCUAUUUCCCUUGUGUCUGUGAUGCUGGAAUAAAGGGCUGAGAGGUCAUCA
rnacentral:lncRNA from 1 species